UACUAGAGUACUAUGAAUAGUUGUAAUUUAAAACUCAAAGAACUUGGCGGUGUUUUAGACCAUUUAGGGGAACCUGUCUCAUAAUCGACAAUCCACGUUGUACCUGACCCUUUUUUGUUUUUCAGUUUGUAUACCGUUGUCGUCAGGUAACUUUUUAGAAAAUAGAAGUUGGCUGGAAAAAUAAGGAUGAUUUAAUACGUCAAAUCAAGGUGCAGCUAAUAAAAGGGGGAGGAUGGGUUACAGUUAUAUAUUUAUAAAUACGGACGGUCGCGUGUAAGUGUGAUUUGUGAAGGCGGACUUAAAAGUAAAUUAGGUUAUAAGAAUAAUUUGAAUAAGGCUCUGAAACGUGU
rnacentral:rRNA from 1 species